rnacentral:rRNA from 1 species
GACGAACGCUGGCGGCGUGCCUAAUACAUGCAAGUUGAGCGCUGAAGGUUGGUACUUGUACCAACUGGAUGAGCAGCGAACGGGUGAGUAACGCGUGGGGAAUCUGCCUUUGAGCGGGGGACAACAUUUGGAAACGAAUGCUAAUACCGCAUAAAAACUUUAAACACAAGUUUUAAGUUUGAAAGAUGCAAUUGCAUCACUCAAAGAUGAUCCCGCGUUGUAUUAGCUAGUUGGUGAGGUAAAGGCUCACCAAGGCGAUGAUACAUAGCCGACCUGAGAGGGGGAUCGGCCACAUUGGGACGGAGACACGGCCCAAACUCCUACGGGAGGCAGCAGUAGGGAAUCUUCGGCAAUGGACGAAAGUCUGACCGAGCAACGCCGCGUGAGUGAAGAAGGUUUUCGGAUCGUAAAACUCUGUUGGUAGAGAAGAACGUUGGUGAGAGUGGAAAGCUCAUCAAGUGACGGUAACUACACAGAAAGGGACGGCUAACUACGUG